UACGGGGGGGGCAAGCGUUGUUCGGAAUUACUGGGCGUAAAGGGUCGUGUAGGUGGCCAACUAAGUCAGACGUGAAAUCCCUCAGCUUAACUGGGGGAACUGCGUCUGAUACUGGUUGGGCUUGAGUGCAGGGAGAGGAAUGCGGAAUUCCAGGUGUAGCGGUGAAAUGCGUAGAUAUCUGGAGGAACACCGGUGGCGAAGGCGGCAUCUGGACUGGCAACUGACACUGAAAGACGAAAGCCAGGGGAGCAAACGGG
rnacentral:rRNA from 1 species